rnacentral:rRNA from 1 species
AUUGAACGCUGGCGGCAUGCCUAACACAUGCAAGUCGAACGGCAGCGGGUGUGGUAGUAAUACCAUAUGCCGGCGAGUGGCGGACGGGUGAGUAAUGCAUAGGAAUCUGCCUAAUAGACUGGGACAACUUGGGGAAACUUGAGCUAAUACCGGAUAAUCUCUACGGAGGAAAGGAUGGGACUUGAAAGAGCCAUUCGCUAAUAGAUGAGCCUAUGUCGGAUUAGCUAGUUGGUGGGGUAAAGGCCUACCAAGCGAUGAUCUGUAGCUGGUCUGAGAGGAUGGACAGCCACACUGGGACUGAGACACGGCCCAGACUCCUACGGGAGGCAGCAGUGGGGAAUAUUGGACAA